rnacentral:rRNA from 1 species
UGAACGCUGGCGGCGUGCUUACCACAUGCAAGUCGACCGAAGCACUUUAUUUGAUUUCCUUCGGGACUGAUUAUUUUGUGACUGAGUGGCGGACGGGUGAGUAACGCGUGGGUAACCUGCCUUGUACAGGGGGAUAACAGUUGGAAACGGCUGCUAAUACCGCAUAAGCGCACAGCAUCGCAUGAUGCAGUGUGAAAAACUCCGGUGGUAUAAGAUGGACCCGCGUUGGAUUAGCUAGUUGGUGAGGUAACGGCCCACCAAGGCGACGAUCCAUAGCCGACCUGAGAGGGUGACCGGCCACAUUGGGACUGAGACACGGCCCAAACUCCUACGGGAGGCAGCAGUGGGGAAUAUUGCACAAUGGGCGAAAGCCUGAUGCAGCGACGCCGCGUGAGCGAAGAAGUAUUUCGGUAUGUAAAGCUCUAUCAGCAGGGAAGAUAAUGACGGUACCUGACUAAGAAGCACCGGCUAAAUACGUG